UCCACUCGGUCCAACCAAGGCAACAGUUUUUCCUGAUUCAAUUGAUAAGUUGAUUCCAUUUAUUACAUUUACUGUUUUCCGAGUCGGAUAUGCAAAUUCAACUACUUCAAACUCAAUUUUUCCUUGAAUUUCUGGAGUUUCAGUCCCAA
ensembl:ncRNA Y57G11C.1139 ncRNA